rnacentral:sRNA from 1 species
GGAAGGAUCAUUACCGAAUUGUCAAACACGGGUUGUUGCUGGCCCCCGAACGGGGCAUGUGCACGCUCUGUUUACACAUCCACUCACACCUGUGCACCCUCUGUAGUUCUGUGGACCGGGAGACGUCGUCUUCCUUCCGUAGCUCUAUGUCUUUACACACACACCGUAGCGAUGUCUCAUGGAAUGUUUUUUCGCGUUUAACGCAAUACAAUACAACUUUCAGCAACGGAUCUCUUGGCUCUCGCAUCGAUGAAGAACGCAGCGAAAUGCGAUAAGUAAUGUGAAUUGCAGAAUUCAGUGAAUCAUCGAAUCUUUGAACGCACCUUGCGCCCCUUGGUUAUUCCUCGGAGCAUGCCUGUUUGAGUAUCAUGAACACCUCAACUCUCAUGGUCUUCCAUGAUGAGCUUGGACUUUGGGGGUUUGCUGGCCUUGUGGCCGGCUCCUCUCAAAUGAAUCAGCUUGCCAGUGUUUGGCGGCGUCACGGGUGUGAUAACUAUCUACGCUCGCGGUUGUCCGUCAGGUAACCCUCAGCGAUGAAGGUUCAUUGGGGCUCAUAAACGUCUCUCCCCAGCGAGGACAACUUUUGAACGUUCGAUCUCAAAUCAGGUAGGACUACCCGCUGAACUUAAGCAUAUCAAUAA